rnacentral:rRNA from 1 species
GACGAACGCUGGCGGCGUGCCUAAUACAUGCAAGUCGAACGCAGUGGGGACGGGUGAGUAACACGUGGGUAACCUCCCAUCAGAGGGGAUAACACUUGGAAACAGGUGCUAAACCGAUACUGAUGGAUGGACCCGCGGUGCAUUCGCUAGUUGGUGAGGUAACGGCUCACCAAGGCCACGAUGCAUCGCAGACCUGAGAGGGGUAUCGGCCACACGGGGAGUGAGACACGGUACAGACUCCUACGUGAGGCAGCAGUAGGGAAUCUUCCGCAAUGGGCGAAAGCCUGACGGCGCAACGCCGCGUGAGUGAUGAAGGUCUUCGGAUCGUAAAACUCUGUUAUUAGGGAAGCGGUAUCUAACCAGAAAGCAACGGCUAACUACGUGCCAGCCGCCGCGGUAAUAC